GUCAAUCAGAUUCCAGAAUACGUUGAGAAGUUGGGAUCUAGUUUGAGUUCUUCGACUUUAUUCCCAAAUGCUGUUGGACUCGGAGCAUUGAUGAUUUCCAUGAUCAUAGAUAUUUCCAUGAAGAGCCACGUUGCAACUUCUGAUGAUUCAUACAGCAAGUUCCUGCAGGCAUUUGGUGAAGAGAAGGCCUCAGCAGUCCGGGACACUGUGUCGGAAAACUCCCUGCUGCUUGACGGACAGAUGAGGAGCCGUGGGUUGAAGAUCUGGGUGAACGGAGCCUCCUUCCACGUCCAGAUGUUGAUCCAUGAGGCUCGACUGAAUCAGAAGACUGGCAUCAGUUCGAAGGACUAUGUUCAUGUCAUCCAAGCUGCCCUCACUACGUAUCUACAGGACCUGGAUCAGCUGCUGGAGAAACACAGGAAGGACUUCGCCGGUCAUACUGCUGUCGGUCAUGAAAUGAAUUGCGGUGGUGACAAUAGUUGUCUUUCUGGACCGAUGUCCGUAUGUUCUUUACAAAACCUUAACCUUACGUGUUUACUUCAACUACAACCAGCUGGAAAAGAC
ensembl:lncRNA